rnacentral:rRNA from 1 species
UCCUGGCCGUAAACGAUGUGGGCUUUGCAUUGGGGGGUUCUACGUGGGCGCCCAGUGCCGUAGCGAAGGCGUUAAGCCCACCGCCUGGGAAGUAUGGUCGCAAGGCUGAAACUUAAAGGAAUUGGCGGGGGAGCACAGCAACGGGAGGAGCGUGCGGUUUAAUUGGAUCAACGCCGGAAAACUCACCGGAGGAGACUGUCGUAUGUGGGUCAGGCUGAAGACCUUACCCGAAU